rnacentral:rRNA from 1 species
CCUACGGGUGGCAGCAGUGAGGAAUAUUGGUCAAUGGACGAGAGUCUGAACCAGCCAAGUAGCGUGAAGGAUGACUGCCCUAUGGGUUGUAAACUUCUGUUAUAAAGGAAUAAAACGAGGCACGUGUGCCUUUUUGCAUGUACGUUAUGAAUAAGGAUCGGCUAACUCCGUGCCAGCAGCCGCGGUAAUACGGAGGAUCCGAGCGUUAUCCGGAUUUAUUGGGUUGAAAGGGAGCGUAGAGGGGUUGUUAAGUCAGUUGUGCAAGUUUGCGGCUCAACCGUAAAAUUGCAAUUGAUACGGUCAGUCUUGCGUACAGUUGAGGUAGGCGGCCUUCGUUGUGUAGCGG